rnacentral:rRNA from 1 species
UACGUAGGGUGCAAGCGUUGUCCGGAAUUAUUGGGCGUAAAGAGCUCGUAGGCGGUUUGUCGCGUCUGGUGUGAAAAUCCAGGGCUUAACCCUGGACCUGCAUCGGGUACGGGCAGACUAGAGUGCGGUAGGGGAGAUCGGAAUUCCUGGUGUAGCGGUGAAAUGCGCAGAUAUCAGGAGGAACACCGGUGGCGAAGGCGGUGGUCUGGGCCGGCACUGACGCUGAGGAGCGAAAGCGUGGGUAGCAAACAGG